rnacentral:rRNA from 1 species
AAGUAUUAAAGGUCCCGCCUGCCCAGUGAAAAACUUUCAACGGCCGCGGUAUUCUAACCGUGCAAAGGUAGCGUAAUCACUUGUCUUCUAAAUAAAGACCAGUAUGAACGGCUAAAUGAGGACAAACCUGUCUCAUAUGAUUAAUCAGUGAAACUGAUCUCUCAGUACAAAAGCUGAAAUAAAGACAUAAGACGAGAAGACCCCGUGGAGCUUAAAACAAACCACGAACCCAGCACUCGUUUCUUGUUUUGAGUUGGGGCGACUUCGGAACUAAAUAAAACUUCCGAGCACAGAACCAUACCUUCUAAUCAAGGCCAACAAGCCAAACAAAACUGACCCGGUCUCACCGAUCAACGAACCAAGUUACCCCGGGGAUAACAGCGCUAUCUUCUUCAAGAGUCCCUAUCAACAAGAAGGUUUACGACCUCGAUGUUGGAUCAGGACACCCAAAUGGUGCAGCUGCUAUUAAAGGUUCGUUUGUUCAACGAUUAACAGUCCUACGUGAUCUGAGU